UGGGGAAUAUUGCACAAUGGGCGCAAGCCUGAUGCAGCCAUGCCGCGUGUAUGAAGAAGGCCUUCGGGUUGUAAAGUACUUUCAGCGGGGAGGAAGGGAGUAAAGUUAAUACCUUUGCUCAUUGACGUUACCCGCAGAAGAAGCACCGGCUAACUCCGUGCCAGCAGCCGCGGUAAUACGGAGGGUGCAAGCGUUAAUCGGAAUUACUGGGCGUAAAGCGCACGCAGGCGGUUUGUUAAGUCAGAUGUGAAAUCCCCGGGCUCAACCUGGGAACUGCAUCUGAUACUGGCAAGCUUGAGUCUCGUAGAGGGGGGUAGAAUUCCAGGUGUAGCGGUGAAAUGCGUAGAGAUCUGGAGGAUUACCGGUGGCGAAGGCGGCCCCCUGGACGAAGACUGACGCUCAGGUGCGAAAGCGUGGGGAGCAAACAGG
rnacentral:rRNA from 1 species